rnacentral:rRNA from 1 species
GGGUAGUCCUGUAAAAUCAAAUUUUAGUUUUUAUUUUAGUAAAAUAGAACAAGUCAUGUUCUGUUUGAAAUAUGGGGGCCCACCCUCAAAGUCUAAAAAUUUUAAUGACUGAUAGUGAAAAGUACCGUGAGGGAAAAGUGAAAAAGACUUUGCGAAAGUGAAAAGACUUUGAAAUUUAAUGCUAACAAUCAGUUGUAGCUUUUAAAAGUAACAAUGUACCUUUUGUAUAAUGGACCAACAAGUUUAUUUUAGUGGCGAGCUUAAAUAAUUAAAAUAUGUAGGCGAAAAGAAAUUAAGUUUUAAAAUGCUUUUUAGUCUCUGAAAUAAGACCCGAAACUAAGUGAUCUAACCAUGAACAGGCUGAAAUUAAGGCGGAAACGCUUUUUGGAGGGCCGAACCCGUGUAUGUGGAAAAAUACUGGGAUGAUUUGUGGUUAGGGGUGAAAGGCCAAUCAAACUUAGAGAUAGCUGGUUUUCUGCGAAAUCUAUUUAAGUAGAGCGUUAAAAGGACUUUAUUAGGGGUAGAGCUCUCGAUAAAUAAUGGGGGCCUAAUAGCCUUACUGAAUUUAUUGAAACUUCGAAUACUAAUUUAAAAGACUUUUAACAGACAGACUGUGAGUGCUAAGAUUCAUAGUCAAAAGGGAAACAGCCCAGAUUAUUGGUUAAGGCCCUUAAAAGUAAUUAAGUGAAAAAAUUGUGGAAAAAUGUUAACAGCCGAAAGGUAGGCUUAGAAGCAGCCAUCCUUUAAAGAAAGCGUAACAGCUCAUUGGUUUAGUUUUUUUGCAUUGAAAAUGUACGGAGCUAAAAUUAUUUGCCGAAGUUAUAGAUUUAUGUAAAAUAAAUGGUAGCAGAACGUUCUGUAAAUCUAAGAAGUUUUAUAGUGAUAUAAAAUGGAGAUAUCAGAAAUGAAAAUGUUGGUAUGAGUAACGAUAAACAAUGUGAAAAACAUUGUCGCCUUAAGUUCAAGGUCUCCAAAACAAGGCUAAUCCGUUUUGGUGUGUAGUUAAUCGGUCUCUAAGAGAAAAACGAAAGUUUUGUUUCGAUGAGUUAAAAAGAAUAAUCUUUUUAUAUAUUUAAAGUGACAAAAUGUAAAUAUUAUUUUUAUUUUAUGGUUAAAAUAAAAGUUUUAUAGCAUUUUCUAGAAAAAGCUUGAAUAGUAAUAAAACCGUACCCUAAACCGACACAGGUGAACAAGUUUAGUAAACUAAGGCGCUUGAGAGAAUUAUGUUGAAGGAACUCGGCAAAAUGACUCCGUAACUUCGGAAUAAGGAGUGACUUUAUUAGGGCAACCUUCUAAAGUUGUCACAAAAUCGGGGACAGCGACUGUUUAAUAAAAACACAGGUUUCUGCUAAUUCGUAAGAAGAUGUAUUGAAACUGACGCCUGCCCAGUGCUGCAAGAUUAAAGGAAGAGGUCUUUUGGCUUUGACCCUAACUCCCAGUAAACGGCGGCUGUAACUCUGACGGUCCUAAGGUAGCGAAAUUCCUUGGCAUUUAAUUGGUGUCCUGCAUGAAUGGCGUAACGACUGUCCCACUGUCUCCAGCACAAGCUCAGUGAAAUUGAAUUCUCCGUGAAGAUGCGGAGUACCUGCGGCUAGACGGAAAGACCCCGUGCACCUUUACUAUAGUUAUAUGUUGUGUUAAGAAUUUUUGUGUGUAGAAUAAGUGGAAGUUGUUUUAUUGCUCCUUAGAGUAAUAGAUAAAAUAGAUCUUUGCACAAGCAAAUUAUUUAAACACCUGUUGAAAUACCACUCUCAAAAGUUUUUAGCACUAACUAUUUAAGACAGCGUAUAAUGGGUAGUUUGACUGGGGCGGUCGCCUCCUAAAGAGUAACGGAGGCGUGCAAAGGUAAAUUUAGGUUGAUUUAGAACAACUUUAAAGCAUAAUAGUAUAUAUUUGCCUGACUGUAAGAUUGACAAAUCAAGCAGGGACGAAAGUCGGUUAUAGUGAUCCGGUGAUUCUGAGUGGAAAAGGUCACCGCUCAACGAAUAAAAGGUACGCCGGGGAUAACAGGCUAAUCACCCUCUAGAGACCCUAUCGACGGGGUGGUUUGGCACCUCGAUGUUGGAUUAUCGCAUCCUGGAGCUGUAGGCGGUUCCAAGGGUUUGGCUGUUCGCCAAUGAAGGCGGUACAUGAUCUGAGUUUAGAACGUCGUGAGACAGUUUGGUCCCUAUCUACCGUGAGUGUAGAAAAUUGAGGGGAGUAGACCCUAGUACGAGAGGACCGGGAAAAGUGAAUCCCUUGUGAAUCGAUUGUUAGACCCAUAGCAUAGUCGAGUAGCUACAUUCAUAAUAAAUAAUCGCUGAAAGCAUCUAAGCGAGAAGUUAACCUCAAAACUAGUUUUUAAAUAAAUGUAAAAGAUUAUUACAUAGAUAGGCUUGAAGUGUAAGAACUGUAAAGUUUUCAGCUAACAAGUACUAAAAAUUUUAAUUAUUAAAACUU